rnacentral:rRNA from 1 species
GUGGCAAGUCUUCCAGUAUGGGGAGCAAAACAGCUAUGGGUCAAGUCCGAUAUCUUUAGGAGAAGUCUUAUUGUGAGGGCGAGUUUUAUAACACCAUAGGACUGGCCGUCCCAUAUGAAAAGAUUAUAUUAGAAUUGAAUGAAGCUUUGUUUAUAUAUUGAUAAUGACAGUAUAUAUAUCGUGUCUUGACUAAUUGCGUGCCAGCAGUCGCGGUAAUACGUAAGAGACUAGUGUUAUUCAUCUUAAUUAGGUUUAAAGGGUACCCAGACGGUCAAUAUAGCUUAUAAAAUGUUAGUACUUGACUAGAGUUUUAUGUAAGAGGGCAGUACUUGAGGAGGAGAGAUGAAAUUUCGUGAUACCAAAGGGACUCUGUAAAGGCGAAGGCAGCCCUCUAUGUAAAAACUGACGUUGAAGGACGAAGGCACAGAGAACAAACAGGAUUAGAUACCCAAGUAGUCUUUGCAGUAAAUGAUGAAUGCCAUAGGUUA